rnacentral:lncRNA from 1 species
ACCAACAGGGAGCGAUAAAAUAAAAUCAGCAUCUUCCUCCACAAAAUUAUUUCUUACCCAAUGGUGUUUCAAGAAUUAGUGGAAGGAUUUAGCAGUUGUGAUGUCCAGAUAAUAUUUGGGUCAUGGUCAUCUCUCACUCUAGGUUUGUCGAGAAAUGUUUGAGGUAUUCAACUGUCAUCCUUGAACAUAACAGAGCGACCAUCAUGCAUAUGCCAAAAGGCAUAAAAAAAGAAACGGGCUGAGGAUAGAAAAGAUUGAAGAAGAAGGAAGGAUCAUGGCUGAUCGACACUGGUACAAACAAGAAGCCACGCUUCAGUGGAUUUGGAAAAUCC